AUACGGAGGAUGCGAGCGUUAUCCGGAUUUAUUGGGUUUAAAGGGUGCGUAGGCUGUGCGUUAAGUCAGGGGUGAAAUGCCGUCGCUCAACGACGGAGCUGCCCUUGAUACUGGCGUGCUGGAGUACGGAUGCCGUUGGAGGAAUGAGAGGUGUAGCGGUGAAAUGCUUAGAUAUCACUCAGAACACCGAUUGGGAAGGCAUCUGACGAAUCCGUCACUGACGCUGAGGCACGAAAGCGUGGGGAUAGAACAGGAUUAGAUACCCUGGUAUUCCACGCCGUAAACGAUGAUGACUAACCGUCGGCGAUAGACAGCCGGUGGCCAAGCGAAAGCGAUAAGUCAUCCACCUGGGGAGUACGUCGGCAACGAUGAAACUCAAAUGAAUUGACGGGG
rnacentral:rRNA from 1 species